UAGGCAAGCCCUUGCAAACAAAGGAUGCUUUCUCUAAACCACAAAUCUAUUUGCACCAUGAAGACAGAGGCACUGUACUUACCCUUGCACAGCUAAGGAGCAGUCAGCUUGGAAAAGCUGCUUGUGGCCCAGGGGAACGUAACCUACCUGCUCUAGGGAAGGAAGGUAGCAGCGGCCAGCUGUCCACAGAAGGGAGCAAGGCUCUCCUUCAAGGAGCAGGAGGGCUCACAGCUGCUCUCCUGAGAGCAAGGAUCUGCAAGGCAGCCUGGCUUCAACCAGCUGGAGAAAAUCAACUGCUUUCCUCCAAGAGGCUAUAAAAGGGUGAGGCUGAGGAGGUGCAUGUGCUAUAGGAGCAGGCAGGACGGCCUGGGGGAAGAGGUGGGGUGUUUGCAUGGUGAUGUGGUGAGCCUCAGCGUAAGCAGUAUGCAGAGGAUGUGGGGCUAUAGCUGCCUGGCAGGCACCAAAGGAGGUUGAGGCGGGCAGCACAGCUCCACAAACAGCCUGACCCAUGGAUGCCAGCCAGAGGAACUGCCCCCAGCUCUCCUGCAGCCCUCCGGCUGUCCUCGGGGGCCACCCCAGCUGCAGCUGCUCCGUUUGCUGGUGCCGCCUCUUCAUGGUGCGUCUCCUUUAUUGGAAGAAAAUCACACGUGCUUGGAAAUCUGGUCCUUGAAAGAGAGGUGUGGGCAUUCCUGGGCACAGAGGUGGUGCCCCCUCGUAUGGGGUUAAUUUGUCCUCCUGGGAUGGCGGCACGAAGUGAGAGGCUGAUGAGGAGCUGCUGCAUCCAUGGCCCUUGGCCUCCACCCUGUGCUGCGCCCAUGGUGUCUGAGCUCCUCCUGCUCCGCUCAGCCCAGGGCCCUUGCUCCUUUUACCCCCGAGAAGAGUUUUUCAUACCACCUUCUUCCCAUUCCCCUGGCGAUGGGGUCUGAAGGCUUUGCUCACAAGCUUUUCCUUGCAGCAUGUGAGCAUAAGCACGUUUUGAUUUGGGGUUCUUGCCCCAUUCCUUAUGUACGGUGGUAUCCAAGGGUGGGAAUAGCUGGGGUGAGCUGCAUGAGUGCAAUAAAGUGUUGUCUUUCCAGUUCUCA
rnacentral:lncRNA from 1 species